rnacentral:misc_RNA from 1 species
CCGAGUUUACAACUCCCAAACCCCUGUGAACAUACCUACUUGUUGCCUCGGCGGAUCAGCCCGCGCCCGUAAAACGGGACGGCCCGCCAGAGGACCCCUAAACUCUGUUUCUUAGUGGAACUUCUGAGUAAAACAAUAAAUAAAUCA